UGCAAGUAACAUCAUCUAUUAUGUUUACAAAACAGCCCAAGUUUAUGGGUAUACUAAAGGGUUCCUGAAUAAAAUAUACAAUCAGGUGCAACAAACAACAACUAUUAGAAGUACCCUGGAAGUAGCAGAAAACAUAGGAUUCAAACCAAUCCCUUAUGCUAUGAAAGAUUCUAAAGUAAUUAAAAGAUUAGUUGAGAAAUCUAACAAAAAGAUUGCAUAUAAAAGGUAUCCUACAAUAUAUAACCAUCUUAGGAAUGAAAAGGUAGAAUAGGUAGAGAAUAAACAAAAGUCGGGGGUCUAUAAGAUACCAGUGUCUAUAAGAAAUAACACCAUGGAGGAAGACCAGGCAUAUAUUGGAGUAACGACUAGAACCCUUAAUCAGAGAUUAAUUGAACAUAGAAGAGAUUUGAUGAAAGGAAACAGUAACACAGCUUUAGCUGCUAGCACAGUUGAAUACGAUAUGCAUGUAGACUGGCAUCAAGCAAAAAUCAUAAAACCUCUGAGAAAAGAAAAACAUGCCAUCUUAGCAGAAACCAUGGAAAUUUACACUAAUAAGAAAAAAGAAAAUUCAUGAAAGACCAUCCCUCUCAAGAAUUACCACAUCCCUGGAA
rnacentral:lncRNA from 1 species